GGUCCCGUGUAGCUCAACUGGUAGAGCAAGGCAUCAACACUGCCAGGGUGAGGGGUUCGAUUCCCACUGGGGCCA